UUUCCAGCUGAUUCACAUCAAUGAAGAUCAGAUGAUUCUCUAACGUUCUCUUUCACCAUCAGAACAGCAGAACAUCUCCAGCCUGAAAGAAAAGAAGACCCCAGCAGUGAAAUCAGGUAAAAAGUCCCUAUGCUAAUCUUGCGAGGCCCACCACUCUGCCCUCAAAACAUUGGAGUGCUCCAGUGGAACCACUGUUGAAAAAUUAGUUGAGGUCAUUCGGACUGGACUCCUGUCUUCUGGACUCUGAAAUCUGCUCAGCAGCGAUUUUACAUGAGUUUUGAAUGUGUUUGUGUGAUUAAAGCACUUUACUAACAAA